rnacentral:misc_RNA from 1 species
UGGUUCUGGCAUCGAUGAAGAACGCAGCGAAAUGCGAUAAGUAGUGUGAAUUGCAGAAUUCAGUGAAUCAUCGAAUCUUUGAACGCACAUUGCGCCCUUUGGUAUUCCUUAGGGCAUGCCUGUUCGAGCGUCAUCUAACCCUUCAAGCACUGCUUGGUGUUGGGCGUUUGUCCCGCCUCGGGCGUGGACUCGCCUCAAAGACAUUGGCGGCCUGUGUAUUGGCUUCGAGCGCAGCAGACUCGCGCGUCGACUCCUCUUGCACUAGGUGUCCAGCAAGCCUACAACCCCCAAGUUUGACCUCGGAUCAGGUAGGGAUACCCGCUGA